rnacentral:rRNA from 1 species
UGGGGGAUAACACUUAGAAAUAGGUGCUAAUACCGCAUAAGCGCACAGCUUCGCAUGAAGCAGUGUGAAAAACUCCGGUGGUAUACGAUGGACCCGCGUCUGAUUAGCUUGUUGGCGGGGUAGAGGCCCACCAAGGCGACGAUCAGUAGCCGGCCUGAGAGGGUGAACGGCCACAUUGGGACUGAGACACGGCCCAAACUCCUACGGGAGGCAGCAGUGGGGAAUAUUGCACAAUGGGGGAAACCCUGAUGCAGCGACGCCGCGUGAGUGAAGAAGUAAUUCGUUAUGUAAAGCUCUAUCAGCAGGGAAGAAAAUGACGGUACCUGAGUAAGAAGCCCCGGCUAACUACGUGCCAGCAGCCGCGGUAAUACGUAGGGGGCAAGCGUUAUCCGGAUUUACUGGGUGUAAAGGGAGCGUAGACGGCGACGCAAGUCUGGAGUGAAAGCCCGGGGCCCAACCCCGGGACUGCUCUGGAAACUGCGGCGCUGGAGUACGGGAGGGGCAGGCGGAAUUCCUGGUGUAGCGGUGAAAUGCGUAGAUAUCAGGAGGAACACCGGCGGCGAAGGCGGCCUGCUGGACCGUGACUGACGUUGAGGCUCGAGAGCGUGGGAGCAAACAGGAUUAGAUACCCUGGUAGUCCACGCCGUAAACGAUGACUGCUAGGUGU